UGGGGCGUGGCCAAGUGGUAAGGCGCCUGACUCUGGAUCAGGUAAACCUAGGUUCGAAUCCUAGCGCCCCAG
rnacentral:tRNA from 1 species